CCCCUAGUAACUGMGAGUGAAGCGGGAAAAGCUCAAAUUUAAAAUCUGGCAGUCUCUGGCUGUCCGAGUUGUAAUCUAGAGAAGUGUUAUCCGCGCUGGACCGUGUACAAGUCUCCUGGAAUGGAGCGUCAUAGAGGGUGAGAAUCCCGUCUUUGACACGGACUACCAGGGCUUUGUGAUGCGCUCUCAAAGAGUCGAGUUGUUUGGGAAUGCAGCUCAAAAUGGGUGGUAAAUUCCAUCUAAAGCUAAAUAUUGGCGAGAGACCGAUAGCGAACAAGUACCGUGAGGGAAAGAUGAAAAGAACUUUGGAAAGAGAGUUAAACAGUACGUGAAAUUGCUGAAAGGGAAACGCUUGAAGUCAGUCGCGUUGGCCAGGGAUCAACCUUGCUUUUGCUUGGUGUACUUUCUGGUUGAUGGGUCAGCAUCAAUUUUGACCAUUGGAUAAAGGUCAAGGGAAUGUGGCAUCUUCGGAUGUGUUAUAGCCCUUAGCUGUAUACAAUGGUUGGGAUUGAGGAACUCAGCACGCCGCAAGGCCGGGUUUUUUAACCACGUACGUGCUUAGGAUGUUGGCAUAAUGGCUUUAAUCGACCCGUCUUGAAACACGGACCAAGGAGUCUAACAUGCCUGCGAGUGUUUGGGUGGAAAACCCGAGCGCGCAAUGAAAGUGAAAGUUGAGAUCCCUGUCGUGGGGAGCAUCGACGCCCGGACCAGACCUUUUGUGACGGCUCCGCGGUAGAGCAUGUAUGUUGGGACCCGAAAGAUGGUGAACUAUGCCUGAAUAGGGUGAAGCCAGAGGAAACUCUGGUGGAGGCUCGUAGCGAUUCUGACGUGCAAAUCGAUCGUCAAAUUUGGGUAUAGGGGCGAAAGACUAAUCGAACCAUCUAGUAGCUGGUUCCUGCCGAA
rnacentral:rRNA from 1 species